GGACUACAGGGGUAUCUAAUCCUGUUUGAUCCCCACGCUUUCGUGCCUCAGCGUCAAUAUUCCCGUAGUGAGCUGCCUUCGCAAUAGAUGUUCUAUGUCAUAUCUAAGCAUUUCACCGCUACAUGACAUAUUCCGCUCACCUCCAGGGUAUUCAAGACAAAUAGUAUCAAUGGCAGUUCUGUAGUUAAGCUACAGGAUUUCACCACUGACUUACCUGCCCACCUACGCACCCUUUAAACCCAGUGAAUCCGGAUAACGCUUGCACCCUCCGUAUUACCGCGGCUGCUGGCAC
rnacentral:rRNA from 2 species